GUGAAUCAUCGAAUCUUUGAACGCAAAUUGCACUCUCUGGUAUUCCGGAGAGUAUGCCUGUUUGAGAGUCAGUUAAAAUAAAAAUCGGUGUGUUUGCUUCGUUUCGUGGUGACGCACCGGAUUUGGAUCUUUUUGCUUUCAGUUAAGUUACCGAGAUUGUUUCUUGAUUUUUUUCGAACGUAUUUAAAUUGUUUUACUGACAUUUGCUAU
rnacentral:misc_RNA from 1 species